GACGAACGCUGGCGGCGUGCUUAACACAUGCAAGUCGAACGGAAAGGCCCUGCUUUUGUGGGGUUCUCGAGUGGCGAACGGGUGAGUAACACGUGAGUAACCUGCCCUUGACUUUGGGAGAACUUCAGGAAACUGGGGCUAAUACCGGAUAUGAGCUCCUGCUGCAUGGUGGGGGUUUGAAAGUUUCGGCGGUUGGGGAUGGACUCGCGGCUUAUCGGCUUGUUGGUGGGGUAGUGGCUUACCAAGGCUUUGACGGGUAGCCGGCCUGAGAGGGUGACCGGCCACAUUGGGACUGAGAUACGGGCCAGACUGCUACGGGAGGCAGCAGUGGGGAAUAUUGCACAAUGGGCGGAAGCCUGAUGCAGCAACGCCGCGUGCGGGAUGACGGCUUUCGGGUUGUAAACCGCUUUCGCCUGUGACGAAGCGUGAGUGACGGUAAUGGGUAAAGAAGCACCGGCUAACUACGUG
rnacentral:rRNA from 1 species